rnacentral:tRNA from 2 species
GCCCGGAUGGCGGAACUGGUAGACGCAAAGGACUUAAAAUCCUUCGACCCAACGGUCGUGCGGGUUCGAUUCCCGCUCCGGGCACCA